AUCCCAGGGAGACCUUUUCCAUGUUUAGCUGAUUCAUGGGAGGCAUAAAUUGAGUGCUGUAGUUUCACUGAUAGCACCUUUUGGUCUAGAAAAUGUGUGUUAGUGGUAUCUCACCAUACACAA